ensembl:lncRNA
UAAAACCCCUCUUUGGAUCUUCUGUCUGAUGAUUCUAAUGGGUCAAAUCUUCAGGAAUGUGCUUCUUAUGCCAGCGAUCUGUCUGUAUCAGAUAAAUGAUUUCAAUUGCACUGAAUAAACUUGUGUUAACAUUGUAAUAACUAAGGAGAGAGGCUCAGGAAUAAGUUGAGGUUCCCAGUUCCUUGAUCAUUUGAGAAAUAUGUCAUCAAUUAUUAAUUGAUAAAUGCAUAAAUUCAUGUUGAGUCUUUCAUCCUCACACACGUGGCAGUGAUAGGAAAUAUUAUGGACCCUCCAUCAAUAGAUCCUCAUUGUUCACCCCUAAGCAUCUUGCACAACACUUAACAGACCUAAAACCUGGAGGGGCAUUUAUCCAGCAAGGAAGCCUGUGAUAAAGGCUUCAGUUCAGAGUCUCAGAGGUAGAGUGGAGACAGUUGGCAGGGUAGGGUCCGCAGUAGGGGUCUGUACGCGUGAGCUUGGAAAGCUGCCCAGGGGGAGGCCAGGGGCAAAGUUUCAAUGGCAGAAGGGUGUUGAAACUUAAGCAAAACACAGUUGGGAGUUAGUGAGGAAACCACAUACUUCAGACCAGAAUGGGGAGUCAAAGGAGCUUAAAAAGUCACACUCAAUAUUAUCAUUUCUGUCCAAGGCCCAUGUGUACAGUUGUCCUUGCUGCUUGUAAGAGGCUCAGUAAUGUCUGAUGACAAUUUCCUCAAGACCAUUAGAUGUCUUCAUUUACCCUUCUAUUCAAGCAGCAGUAAUGGAAAGUGAACUCUGGGAGAUUGUGAAGGACAGGGAAGCUUGGAGUGCUGCAGUCCUUGAGGUCGCAGAACAGGACAUAACUGAGUGAUGAACAACAACAACAAAUUACACUUGUUAACUUGUUAACUUGGUGUAAGGUGGGAAUCUCAGGGAUCUAACCUCCUCUAAUUCUGUGAUAAAGUAAUAAUACCAGUUUCCUGGUCAUGGGAAGCCUUUGUGAUGUUGAGUAUGAAAUGGUUGAAUCCUGACAAGUCUAAAAUUAUUGAAAAACAAAUUUUGUGUAAUUUUGUUAUAAGAAUUCUUCUCUUUUUACUUUUUGCCUUGUUCGGUUAAAAGUUGAGGGGCUAGUCAACCCAAUAACUUGUACACAAAUGUUUAGAGCAGAACUAUUCGUAACAGCCCCAAAUUGGAAACAAUCCAAGUGUCCAUCAACUGAUGAAUGUCUAAAUAAAAUGUAAACUGGCCAUACAGUAGGAUAUCAUUUAGUCAUAAAAAGAAGAGAAGUGCUAAUACAUACUACAACAUGAUGAAUCUUGAAAAUAUUAUGCUAAGUGAAAACAUAGGCAAAUCUAUUGAGAUAGAAAGCAGAUUACAGUUUGCCAAAGGCUGAAUGAUUGGGGGUAGGGAACAGGGUGUGGCUGCUGAUGGGUACAGAGUUUCUUUCUGGGUUAAUGAAAAUGUUCUGAAAUUAUUGUUUUGAUGGUUGCACAACUCUGUAAAUCUACUUAAAACCAUUGAGUUAUAUACCCUAAAUGUAUGAACUGUAUGGUAUGUGAAUUAUAUCUUAAUCAAGUUAAUAAACAAGUAAGCAACUUGUUUAGUUACUUAGGAAGUCUUGUGGACCCUUCAUUCAACAGAUACUCUGUGCACCCGUGAACAUCUUGCACAGCACUUGGCAGAUCAAGAAUCUGGAGGGGCAUUAAUCCAGCAAUCCUUUGUCAUAUAAGGAAACAAAUAGGCUUAGGUUAUUGUCCUUCAGGGUGAUGUGAAUGAAUUGGUUUUUACAAUGUUUUUGCCAAGGAACCCAAGCNNNNNNNNNNNNNNNNNNNNNNNNNNNNNNNNGAAUGAAUAUAGUACAAGUUUUCAUUGUAAAAAGUAAACCAAAAACAAAUAAAAAAAACUUUUAGAAUGUGCUUUGAAUUGUAGUUCAAUUUAGAAUAAUUUUUGAGAUAUAUAUUGUUGGAGUUUAUAUAAUUAAAGAGAAAAAUAGAAAAAAUUCCUGAAAAUAGUAACUCUGCAAAGUAACUUAGUGUCAAAUUAAUAAANNNNNNNNNNNNNNNNNNNNNNNNNNNNNNNNNNNNNNNNNNNNNNNNNNNNNNNNNNNNNNNNNNNNNNNNNNNNNNNNNNNNNNNNNNNNNNNNNNNCUGAAAAUAGUAACUCUGCAAAGUAACUUAGUGUCAAAUUAAUAAACACAUAACUUUUUCUUCUUUAGACCUUGCAUAGAUUUCAAUUUUGAGCUCUUUUUUCUUUUUUUUUGAGUUCUUAAAACUUAUUUUCCUCCUUCAUUCUCCUCUAGAUUGGGGUUUUGACACUAGAGUGUCUAUAAAUAGAUUUUUAUGAGUCCAUAAUCCCUGAAACUUUAUGCUAAUAUUUGUGUGUAUGUAUCUGACUGUAUUUCUUAGAAAAGGUACCAUAUCUUAUAUCAUAUUCUCUGAAGUGUCUGUGACUCAAUAAAUGUUAAGGGCCAACAUUUUAUAUGUAUCAUGGGAAGAAGAAAUAUGAGUUCAUUUAUCCUUAUUUUGUAUCAAAGGAGGCAAAAUUGAUUCAAACUAUUGGGUUCUGCACACAGCAGUGGUUCAUAUGAAGAAACCUUUCCAGGAUAUACUAUCCAAUUAUUGAAAAUGCACUUGCUUAAAGGCUUAUUUUGUUGUUAUUAAAAAAUUUGUAAACUAUCUUUCAAAAAAAUCACCUUCUGAAUGACAUUUUAAAAAAUGUGUUCUAAUAGUAAUUGACUCUGACAAGAACUACAUAUUACAAGUACCCUUGAAGCUUUGCCAUAAUACUCCAGCUUUGAAGAUGAGACUAAUGAUAUUCCUUAAAUCAGAA